AGUUGAUUAUGGCUCAGGAUGAACGCUAGCGAUAGGCCUAACACAUGCAAGUCGAGGGGCAGCACAUGAGUAGCAAUACGAUGGUGGCGACCGGCGCACGGGUGAGUAACACGUAUGCAACCUACCUUUAACAGGGGGAUAACCCGUUGAAAGACGGACUAAUACUCCAUGACACAGGGGUCCCGCAUGGGAAUAUUUGUUAAAGAUUUAUCGGUUGAAGAUGGGCAUGCGUUCCAUUAGCUAGUUGGUGAGGUAACGGCCCACCAAGGCAACGAUGGAUAGGGGAACUGAGAGGUUUAUCCCCCACACUGGAACUGAGACACGGUCCAGACUCCUACGGGAGGCAGCAGUGAGGAAUAUUGGUCAAUGGAGGCAACUCUGAACCAGCCAAAGUCGCGUGAAGGAUGAAGGUCUUAUGGAUUGUAAACUUCUUUUUCAAGGGAAUAAAGUGGGGGACGUGUCCUCCUUUGCAUGUACCUUGCGAAUAAGGAUCGGCUAACUACGUGCCAGCCGCCGC
rnacentral:rRNA from 1 species